rnacentral:misc_RNA from 1 species
GAUGAAGAACGCAGCGAAAUGCGAUAAGUAGUGUGAAUUGCAGAAGUCAGUGAAUCAUCGAAUCUUUGAACGCACAUUGCGCCCCAUGGUAUUCCGUGGGGCAUGCCUGUUCGAGCGUCAUUUACCCCCUCAAGCUCCGCUUGGUGUUGGGCGUCUGUCCCGCUUCGCGCGCGGACUCGCCCCAAAGGUAUUGGCAGCGGUCGUGCCAGCUUCUCGCGCAGCACAUUGCGCUUCUCGAGGCACCGGUGGGCCCGCGUCCAUCAAGCUCACCCCCCCAGUUUGACCUCGGAUCAGGUAGGGAUAGCCGCUGAACUUAAGCAUAUCAAUAAGCGGAGGA